rnacentral:rRNA from 1 species
CGUAGGGCGCGAGCGUUGUCCGGAAUUAUUGGGCGUAAAGAGCUCGUAGGCGGCUUGUCGCGUCGGUUGUGAAAGCCCGGGGCUUAACCCCGGGUCUGCAGUCGAUACGGGCAGGCUAGAGUUCGGUAGGGGAGAUCGGAAUUCCUGGUGUAGCGGUGAAAUGCGCAGAUAUCAGGAGGAGCACCGGUGGCGAAGGCGGAUCUCUGGGCCGAUACUGACGCUGAGGAGCGAAAGCGUGGGGGAGCGAACAGGAUU